GGAUGCGAUCAUACCAGCACUAAAGCACCGGAUCCCAUCAGAACUCCGAAGUUAAGCGUGCUUAGGCGAGAGUAGUACUAGGAUGGGUGACCUCCUGGGAAGUCCUCGUGUUGCAUUUC
rnacentral:rRNA from 1 species